GCCCCAGUAACUCAGUGGUAGAGUGCUUGUCUCGUAAUAAACUUCUUAAGAAGAAGUUUAAUCAAGAAGCCGAGAAAACAAGAAGCCGAGGGUUCAACUCCCUCCUGGGGCU
rnacentral:tRNA from 1 species